AGUUGUGACGUUAGAAAUGAUGAAAACCAUCAAAAAAGGUAGGCUACGCCUGCGUUCUGCUGCGAGUCUCCUUUCAUUUCAUUUGGCGCUACAAGAAGCAUAGUGUCCUGGCUAAGCAGUACCUCGCAGCAACCUCAGUUCC